rnacentral:SRP_RNA from 1 species
CCACGGAGCCGACCCCGACCGCCGCGCCAGCCGCGUAUCGCUCUCUCCUACAACCCGGUACUGCCAUCACCUACGGCCUGCUGGUAUGUAUUUCAAUGAUCGAAGUGACUGCCGCCGG